rnacentral:rRNA from 1 species
GACGAACGCUGGCGGCGUGCUUAACACAUGCAAGUCGAACGAAGUGGCGAACGGGUGAGUAACGCGUAAUCAACCUGCCCUUCAGAGGGGGACAACAGUUGGAAACGACUGCUAAUACCGAAUACUGAAGGAGGGGUUUGCGUCUGAUUGGCUAGGUGGAGGGGUAACGGCCCACCAAGGCGAGGAGCAGUAGCCGGGCUGGGAGGAUUAACUGCCACAAUGGUACGGGGACACGGCCCAGACUCCUACGGGAGGCAGCAGUGGGGAAUCUUCCGCAAUGGACGAAAGUCUGACGGAGCAACGCCGCGUGAGUGAUGACGGCCUUCGGGUUGUAAAGCUCUGUUAAUCGGGACGCGGUACCGGAAUAGAAAGCCACGGCUAACUACGUGCCAGCAGCCGCGGUAAUUC